ACAAGCCGAGUUGAGGACUUGAGGUCUCAAAUCAUGAAAGGCUCAGUGAGACAGCAUGUAGAAGUCUGUAACUUAAUAUGGGCUAAAGGGAACUCAGGAGGAAACACACAUCAGUAUUCUUCUUAUGGUGAUUGAUACCAGAGUGGUAGUACAACAAAAAUGAUUGAUAUCCCAAAUGGAAGGUUGGUGUUAUCAUUGGAAAAACUGGAGAAACUAUAAAGCAUAUCCAACUUCAGUCAGGGGCAAAGAUCCAAGUAACAAGGGACAUGGAUGUUCAACCCUCGUCACAGACAAGAUUGGUUGAUCUUUCGGGCACUCCUGGCCACA